rnacentral:misc_RNA from 1 species
GGGGCACUAGACCUAGCCAGGGGUCUGUUUAGAAACGCAACUGGUUCAAAUUUGAUUGACCAAAACUGGAUUUGAACGAAACUGGAACUAGACAGUUCGGUUCUGGUCCAAAACCUUAUUUAAAAAAAAAUUGAAAAAUAAUUUCAACCAGCAGGGAUUUGAUCAAACCGGAAUCAGGAGGGCCCUCCAGUCUUGGUCCUCUUGAACCUGGAACCACCGGUUCCGGUCCAGUUCAGCCUGUUGGCUACAUCUAAGGUGCACACAUAUACGCAUGAUUUAACUUUAUUUGAUGAAAUGAUUGUCUUGUGGGAGCAUGAGGAGAAACUAUUUUCUGAAAUGACUGCAUUAGUUGGAUGAAGGUUAUUUGAUUAUUGCACAACAGUUCCUAUAGUAGCUGUAUUAAUUAUCUAGUUGCUUAAGUUUCUUGAUGCUUGUGUCAUUAUUUAGUAAUUCAUCAUUUUAAUUCUAUAACGACGGACAAGUGUGUUAAAUUUUUGGCACAGAAAUAAGGGGAUACUGUUUGU